rnacentral:rRNA from 1 species
UCCGGAUGUAGCGGCGGACGGGUGAGUAACACGUGGGUAACCUGCCUGUAAGACUGGGAUAACUCCGGGAAACCGGAGCUAAUACCGGAUAGUUCCUUGAACCGCAUGGUUCAAGGAUGAAAGACGGUUUCGGCUGUCACUUACAGAUGGACCCGCGGCGCAUUAGCUAGUUGGUGAGGUAACGGCUCACCAAGGCGACGAUGCGUAGCCGACCUGAGAGGGUGAUCGGCCACACUGGGACUGAGACACGGCCCAGACUCCUACGGGAGGCAGCAGUGGUCAUA